rnacentral:rRNA from 1 species
GACGAACGCUGGCGGCGUGCUUAACACAUGCAAGUCGAACGGAAAGGCCCUGCUUUUGUGGGGUGCUCGAGUGGCGAACGGGUGAGUAACACGUGAGUAACCUGCCCUUGACUUUGGGAUAACUUCAGGAAACUGGGGCUAAUACCGGAUAGGAGCUCCUGCUGCAUGGUGGGGGCUGGAAAGUUUCGGCGGUUGGGGAUGGACUCGCGGCUUAUCAGCUUGUUGGUGGGGUAGUGGCUUACCAAGGCUUUGACGGGUAGCCGGCCUGAGAGGGUGACCGGCCACAUUGGGACUGAGAUACGGCCCAGACUCCUACGGGAGGCAGCAGUGGGGAAUAUUGCACAAUGGGCGGAAGCCUGAUGCAGCAACGCCGCGUGCGGGAUGACGGCCUUCGGGUUGUAAACCGCUUUCGCCUGUGACGAAGCGUGAGUGACGGUAAUGGGUAAAGAAGCACCGGCUAACUACGUG